UGGAAAGAGUGGUCUCCUUUUGCUGAUUGUUUUGAUUAUAAUUUCCCCUCUGUUGAUGUGUGAUUAUUUCCCUCUUUUUUUUUCUGUUGUUGUUGUUUGGGCUUUUGGGAAUGUCCUUUAACUUUUUUCCCUAAUUGUAUGAAAACAAAAAAUUUUGAUUUUGGAAGGGAUUGUUUUCUUUUUUCAAAAAAAAAAAAAAAAAAAAAAAAAAAAAAAAAAA
rnacentral:ribozyme from 13 species